rnacentral:tRNA from 1 species
AGUAAGGUCAGCUAAUUAAGCUUUUGGGCCCAUACCCCAAAUAUGUUGGUUAACCCCUUCCCCUACUA